rnacentral:rRNA from 1 species
GUGAAUCAUCGAGUCUUUGAACGCAAAUUGCGCUGUUGGGCAUUCCUGACAGCAUGCUUGGCUGAGUAUCAUCUGGACAAAUCACAAAGAUUUCUUUGUGGAAAUGAGGCGUCACAUUGGCAACAAUGCGUCCCUUUAAAUGCAGACGGUGAAGGACAUUAGCGUUCUUGUACCACUAGUGUGUCAAUUGUCCUCUGGACAUCGUGCACUAUGUCGGUGCUUGAACAACAAAGCUAAUGAUUGGAUCCUAAUUUAAACUCAAUACGAAAGUUUGAAUUCUCAGCUCAAGCAAGACUAACCCGCUGAAUUUAAGCCAUAUCUAAAUAAGACGGAGG